UUAACUCAAAUUUAUAUGGAGUUGGAACAUUUCCCUACGGUUACCGCUAGGGGCGCUGUUUCAACUUCAUACAAAUUUGAGUUA
rfam:Bombyx mori DNA, contig: Bm_scaf1_contig1413, strain: p50T/Dazao, build 2, whole genome shotgun sequence.